AGUGAACGCUGGCGGUAGGCCUAACACAUGCAAGUCGAACGGCAGCACAGUAAGAGCUUGCUCUUACGGGUGGCGAGUGGCGGACGGGUGAGGAAUACAUAGGAAUCUACUUUUACGUGGGGGAUAACGUAGGGAAACAUACGCUAAUACCGCAUACGACCUACGGGUGAAAGCAGUAGUGCUUCGCACUUUGGCCGACUGAUAGAGCCGAUGCCGGAUUAGCUAGUUGGCGUGGUAAAGGCCCACCAAGGCGACGAUCCGUAGCUGGUCUGAGAGGAUGAUCGGCCACACUGGAACUGAGACACGGUCCAGACUCCUACGGGAGGCAGCAGUGGGGAAUCUUGCGCAAUGGGCGAAAGCCUGACGCAGCCAUGCCGCGUGGGUGAUGAAGGUCUUCGGGUCGUAAAGCUCUUUUAUUAGGGAAGAAAAAAUGUGUAAGUAUCUAUGGAUGUCUUGACGGUACCCAAAGAGAAAGCCCCGGCUAACUUCGUG
rnacentral:rRNA from 1 species